rnacentral:lncRNA from 1 species
AAGAUGAAAAACCAAAUUAAUGCAAUGAAUACAAUUAGUUUGAUUUGGCUGAAUUAGAUUAAAAAUAGUUGUACUUUAAUUUGAAGGAAUAUGCGUAAGUCGAUCAAUCCAAAUUCUUUUAUUUAAAAAAAAAGAAAAAUUAAGAUUUGUUUGUUGCACAUAUCACUUAUUGUUAAUUACGGCCAUUUAUUAUGUCGACGGUUUUCUAAAUCCAUAAACCUUCUAACAAUCACGAAUGAUUAGAAAAUUAGGUAAACAUUGCAUGAUAUUAAAAAAGAAAAAUGGUAAAAAGAAACAACAUAUGUUCGAAAGAGUUGGUUGAAUACUAGAAAAAAAAAAUGAAAAACUGGUCUCGAGAUGAUUCAGAAAGAGAGAGAGAGGGGUCAAAAAUCAAAUACGAAACUUGCAAACCAAGUAACCUUUUCUUCCUCUUCUUCAAAGAAGAUCGGCUACGUUUGAUGGAAGCUCCUCAACAACCACAUUGUAAAACUUCUGAAUAUCAAAAAGCAUCCUCUCAUCGUCCUUGGUCACAAAGUUAAUCGCCACACCUUUCCUCCCAAACCUCCCACUCCUACCAAUACGGUGAAGGUAGUUCUCAGGCUGAGUCGGCAGAUCAAAGUUAAUAACCAAAGACACUUGCUGCACAUCAAUCCCACGAGCCAAGAGAUCGGUCGUGAUCAGCACACGCGAAGAGCCAGACCUGAACUCUCUCAUGAUAAUGUCUCUAGUGUUCUGGUCCAUGUCUCCGUGAGUCGCCGACACCGUAUGGUCACGGCUCCUCAUUUUAUCCGUGAGCCAGUCCACCUUGCGACGAGUGUUGACGAAGAUGACGCUCUGAGUGAUGGCCAACGUCUCGUAGAGGUAUCAGAUAUGAUGGAGAAGGAAUUGAUCCUUGUUGGAGCUACUGCUGUAGAGGACAAACUGCAAAAGGGGGUAUGCUAUAUAGGACAAACUUCAUUGUGAUUACCCAAUAUCACUCUUUCAAAAACUUCUUUUCAGCUUACUUUUUGUAGUUCACUUGAUCAGGUUCCUCAAUGCAUAGAUAAUCUUGCCCAAGCUGGUCUCAAGAUAUGGGUUUUGACAGGAGAUAAGAUGGAGACAGCAAUAAACAUAGGGUUUGUUCUUCUUUAUUGCGAAUACCACAGACCCUGGAACUGAUUUUUUUUUUUUACAAGAUUUAUUCUCCUCUAAGACUAAAUGGACUAAAUGAUUUGGUUGGCCAAAAUGCAGAUACGCCUGCAGUUUACUUCGACAGGGUAUGAAGCAGAUAUCCAUUUCAUUUGCUAAUGUAGAGGAAUCAUCUCAAAACUCCGAAACUGUACGUAUCUUAUGUCGAAACUAUUAAAAAAGUACAUUACUGUUUCAUUCGAGUAUUUCGUGUGAUGUAGAUAAAAAAAAUGUCUUUAAUGUUCAGGCUGCAAAGGAGAGUAUUUUGAUGCAGAUCACAAAUGCCUCACAGAUGAUCAAAAUAGAAAAAGAUCCACAUGCAGCGUUUGCUUUGAUCAUUGAUGGGAAGACACUUACAUAUGCUUUGAAGGAUGAUGCCAAGUACCAGUUUCUUGCACUUGCAGUUGUCUGUGCAUCAGUAAUCUGCUGUCGUGUCUCUCCUAAACAGAAAGCACUUGUAUGGAAAAUUCCAUAAACCUUCAAAACAAUUUUAUUAGUUUCCCAAACAUUACAAUUGUCUUGAUUAUUUUUUUGUCAGAUAACAAGGCUAGCGAAAGAAGGAACAGGGAAGACAACUUUGGCAAUCGGUGAUGGUGCAAAUGAUGUUGGCAUGAUUCAAGAAGCUGAUAUUGGUGUUGGCAUCAGCGGCGUUGAAGGCAUGCAGGUGCUUAAACUUCUCUUCAACACAAUGAGACAUACAUAGUCAAGUUUCGCCUAUUUUUCUAACAAAACACGUUUCUAUUUUCUUUUUGCAGGCUGUAAUGGCAAGUGACUUCUCCAUAGCCCAGUUUCGCUUUCUGGAGAGACUACUUGUUGUCCACGGACAUUGGUGCUACAAGAGAAUAGCCCAAAUGGUUAGUAUAUACGUUUCAGAUAAUUUGAUAUAUCACCAGACAGCAUAUACACUUGAUCUUCAUUGGUAAAUGUUGCUUUCACAGAUCUGUUACUUCUUCUACAAGAACAUAGCGUUUGGCCUAACUCUCUUCUACUUCGAAGCCUUCACCGGAUUUUCUGGUCAAUCAAUAUUCAACGACUCCUACUUAUUACUCUUCAACGUUGUUCUCACUUCUCUCCCCGUCAUUUCUCUCGGAGUUUUCGAACAAGAUGUUCCUUCUGAUGUCUGCUUAGAGGUUAUAGUCUCUCUCUAUCAUCUUCACAUACAAAACAAAACACUUCCUAAACUUCAUAUCUUUGCCUCUGUUUUUAUAGUUCCCUGCAUUGUAUCAACAAGGCCCCAAGAACCUGUUCUUCGACUGGUACAGGAUCCUCGGAUGGAUGGGGAAUGGAGUUUACGCAUCCAUAGUCAUCUUCACACUCAACCUCGGAAUCUUCCAUGUCCAAUCAUUCCGCUCUGAUGGCCAAACCGCAGACAUGAACGCCAUGGGAACCGCCAUGUUCACUUGCAUCAUAUGGGCAGUAAAUGUACAAAUAGCUCUCACCAUGAGCCACUUCACUUGGAUCCAACACGUAAUGAUUUGGGGAAGCAUAGGAGCUUGGUACAUCUUCCUCGCCCUUUACGGUAUGCUACCACCAAAACUCUCUGGUAACAUCUUCCACAUGCUCAUCGAGGUUCUAGCGCCUGCGCCGAUCUUCUGGCUUACCACACUCCUGGUCAUUGCCGCUACAACGCUCCCUUACUUGUUUCACAUCUCGUACCAAAGAUCGGUGAACCCUCUUGACCAUCACAUUAUACAAGAGAUCAAGCAUUUCAAGAUUGAUUUAGAGGAUGAGAGAAUGUGGAAACGAGAGAAGUCCAAGGCUAGAGAGAAGACAAAGAUUGGUUUCACGGCUAGAGUUGAUGCUAAGAUCAGACAGCUAAGAGUGAAGCUUCAGAGGAAACAUUCGGUGUUGAGUGUCAUGAGUGGGACUUCUUCUAAUGAUACAACUUCAAACUCACAACAGACUUAAUUUAAGAUCAAGUAAAUUUUGUUUUAACUCCAUUGUUUUAUGAGAUAUUGCACUCCCUAUACAAACAUAACUCUAUAAUUUGCAUGGAUGGAAGUUUGCUUUUCUUACUGAUGUGUUUUUUUUUUAAUGUCAGUUAUGCCCUUAUUUCAAGUAUUAACACAUUCUAAAAAUAUUACGCAUUUACAAAGUUCCUAUAUUGAUAUACCACGUGUGAAAGAUUUUGUCUAGAGAAAGCACUAUAAUCGAUACAUGCAUUGUCUAAAAAUCAAACAUGUUCAUCUCUCAUCUGUCCCAAUUUCAUUGUUUAUUCCGUCGAACCUUUCUUCACUCCUUCAUCUCUGUCUUGCUCCGUCGUGGCUGUCGUCCACGCAGUUGACUUGCUUCAUCUUCCUUGUUCAUCUACGCCAUCGACUAAAAACAGAGCCACCACGAACGUCUCCGCCUCAAGUUUCUUCUUCUUCGCCGCAAAUCGUCGUGUUUGUCUCGGUUCACCGGACCAUCUCCCUCAUCUUUCUCUGCCGAUGUCGUCAUGCUCGGAUUCAAGCCUAGCCAUAGUGUUCAUCCUCGCCGUCUCUGUCUCGUUACAGAAGAUAUCGAACAAUAUUGGCGAUUUCUUAUGUUUUGCAACACAAGCCCUCCAACCUUUAGAUAUUCUCAAGGUGGCUCCAAUAUUUUCAAGUGUACAAAUAGUUUCACAAAUCGGCUCCAGACUUUUAGAUUCUACAUUUCAAACCCUUUAAAAACUCCCCGAAUAGUCCUCGGAGUCUUAGAUGUUUUCAAUGUUAAAAUUCAAAUGACAAUCUUGAGAUAAUUAGUGUAUAUUACCAGCUAAAUAUAACCAUAAAAGCCAAGUAAAAUUUUUAACCGACUAUUUCACAAAUUAUAUCAUUAAUAUUACCGGCUAACUAUAAAAAUGUAGAGAUAAUUAGUAUAUAUUACCGGUUAACAAUAACAAAAAAAUUCAAGUACAAUGUUAACCGGCUAAACAACCAUUUAAUCAUUUGUAUUGUGAUUUGUUAAUGAGUUAAUUUUAUGUUUACCCGAACAUGUAAAUUUAAUCAUAUGUUUUGUGAUUUAUUAGAGAGUUAAUUUUUUGUUUAUCUGAACUGAUACAAAAUAACAAUCAUUAACCGAUCAAAAUAGCCGGUAAAUAUGAAUUAAAUACCAGCUAAAAUGUAAAGUACCCGGAUAAAUCAGAAUAUAAGAAUGCUAAUUUAAAAAUGAGACAUAUAAGCUAUAUGUAUAACUGGUAAUUAAAAUCUAAAUACCAGCUAACAUAUAAUAUAUCCAGUUAAAUAAUAAUAUAGACAUGCUAAUUUAUAAAUUAUCUAAAAAAUCACAUUAUAACCGGCUAACUUACAUAUCAACAAUAUAAAUUAAGCUUACACCGUUGAGAAGCUCUACAUUGUUUCAAUAAAAAAAAAAGAAACUAGCAGUAUUCAAAAUUAAAUUAAAAAAACAAAUAAAAAAUAUGCAAAAUAACCGGGACUAGUUUUAAAAAAACAACAAAAAUGGAUCCUCAACUUGCAUCGAUCGAACUGAGAAGAUCCAACCGCUCGAUGCUCCAACUGCAGUACUUGAUCCAGCCUAAAAUAUACAAAUUGAUCGCAUACUGAACACCGUUCUACUCGAUUAAAUCCUCUCGGCAUAAGCUGAGAGAUGUCAAUCAAAGUCCCACAUUGGAUAAUUAGACAAGGAGUGUCUAAUAUAUAAAGAGAUGUCCAACUCUAAUAGUACGAGGCCUUUUGGGAUGGAAACCAAAAGUAAAACCAUGCGGGCUUGCUAAUUAGGCCCAAAGUGGACAAUAUCGUACUAAUCGGAUAAUAUAGAGUUGGACAUGGGAUUUCACAAUCCCAACAAUUGGUAUCAGAGCGGUUGACGAGAAAUCUGCAAGAAGACCAAAAUACCCUUCGAGUAGGAAUGGGACCCUUCAAGGUGGAAAGGGAGGUUCGGCAGAGAUUAGUCAGAAGAUCCUGGAAUUGUGGGAAGAACAUUCUCGACUAAGGGUGUCGAAUGUCGAAGAUGCGACAAGGCACCGAGAUGAUUCGCUAGAGGAAAAAUGGCACAAGGUGUGUGGUCCUUAGCUUGAGGGGGAGAAUGAGAGAUGUCAAUCAAAGUCCCACAUUGGAUAAUUAGACAAGGAGUGUCUAAUAUAUAAAGAGAUGUCCAACUCUAAUAGUACGAGGCCUUUUGGGAUGGAAACCAAAAGUAAAACCAUGCGGGCUUGCUAAUUAGGCCCAAAGUGGACAAUAUCGUACUAAUCGGAUAAUAUAGAGUUGGACAUGGGAUUUCACAAUCCCAACAUAAGCUUCAUCUCAUGUGCCCACAAUCGAACGACGGAGUUGUGACAGUGGCGAGAAGAAAAGACACAGACACGGCAGCGAGAAGAGAAGACGCAAACACGACAGCAAGAAGAGAAGACGCAGGCACGGCAACGUUCUGGUGCGGCGGAGAUGCGGCGACACCAGUGGAACGGAGACAAACUUUUUUUAUUAUGUUGGUUUUUUUAUAUUAAAAUUUAAACUACUUAAUUAAAGAAGGAGUAUAUGGUAAAAUACUCCUAGACAAAUAGUCUGACAACCAUGUUUUCUAGAGUUUUUCUAUUUUUGCAAAUUUUUCAGUUAUUGUAUAUUUUUCUUGCAAAUCGCUCUUGUUUUAUGUAAGUGUAUUGAAGAUAGAUAAAGAAAACAAAAAUUAUAUUCUUUUUUCUCACUAUUCAAAUCGUUUAUAUAACUAGAUAUUAGACAAAAGAAAGAGGGUACUGAACUGCGUUUACGUAUGUGUACACUAAUAUUAAUGAAAAUGAAAAAGAAAUACAUUACAAACUACAUUAUUGCUACAACCAUAACGGCUUUUUUGGAAUUGCAAACAUUUGCUGCCUAACCUUACCAACACACGAAUUGUGGAACUACUACAUGAAAAGGUAUAUAUUUCAAAUCCCAAAUGCAAUUUAAUAUCUCUUAUGCAAACUUUUUUUUUAAAAAAUAUAUCAAAAAUUAACAUUCAAAUUUAAAAAUGUUAAUUUUUCCUUUGUUAAUUUUUUUGGGUUUCGGAAAAUAACCCUCUUUCUUUAAUUAAAGCGAAAAUUAUAUAAAAAAUUAUAUAUUUUUGUUUUUUUUGAAAGGUAGCCGUUUUUUUAAUUAAAAGUGAAAAAAAAAAAUUCGUGUUAGCCGUUUGAAAAGUAGCCGUUUCUGUUUUGGUUUUCGGGAAGUAGUCGUUGUUAGAUUUCCUUUUUAUCUAUAAAAAGUCCACUUCCAACUAUCUCACAUCAGAUAAUCCCAUUCUCCUUUCCAUCAAGAAAAUAAUAAUAAUAAUAAUAAUAAUCAGUUUCCGAACCAUGGAGCCGGAGAGCAACUUCCCGUCCCCUUCUUCUCCGUCGCUCAUAUCCUAAUACAACCCAUAGAAAACAAGAUCAUGUUUGUAAUCGGGAGCUACAUCAUGUACCACGACGACGAAGCUAUCGGCCGUGAUUCUGAUUCCCAAAGUAAACGCCGUAACCCUUUCUCUCAGCCGUAAGGUAUCAAAAUCCUCUUUCUUUCUCUGUUUUUUAAAAUGCUUUUUGUUUUCUCAAAAGCUUCUUUUUUGGGGGGAAGAGGGAGAUUCUAUAUUGCCCGGAUUGAUUAUAAGACACUUUAUAAAUUCAUAAUGUGAAAACAAGUAGAACAUCGUCCAGUCAUUGAUCGUUUCAUUUGUCUUUUUAUACUUAUGAUUUACUUAGUCCACUCAUAAAUAAUCAGUCCGGUAAUUUUAAUCGACUUCUUUCUCUCUGUUUUAAAAAUGUUUUUUUUGUCAAAAGCUUUAUUUUUUUUGGGAAAUUCUAUAUUACUGGACUGACAGACACUAAAUUCAUAAUGUGUAAACAAAUAGAAUGUCGUGUCCAGUCAUUUAUUUGUCCGUUAGAGAUCAUUAAUUUCAUUUUGCCUUUAUACUUAUGGUCAUUUUAGUCACUCAAAAUCAGUUCGGCAAUUAAGAGUUUCCCCAUUCGUAUUUUCAUGGUUUUCUUUUCAAAUCUUUUGCUUGUUUGUUGUGUUGUGUGUUUCUUGUUUUUUUGUGUUUGCUUGUUUGUCGAGUUAGAAAUCAGUGAUGCUGUGUUUUGGAACUUGACGUUGAAGGCUUAUCUGGAUAUGGGUUUUUAAAGAAGAAGCUGUUGUCGACCUCUCUUCUGCAUAUCAUACAAGUUAUGUUACAGACUUAUAUUGCGCUGAAAUUAGGACUUCAUUUGAUGCUCACCGUGGCCAAUGAACAUGUAAUGUUGCCAAUACAUGAUGUGUUAUUAAUUUUAUUAUCUGAAGAACUCCUGCCGUAAAUGAUAUGUGUGAUCUUGAUGAUACUAUAUGUCUCUUUUAGAUUGACAAGAAAAGAACUAAAAAGUAAAGACUACAAAUAACGUAAAAUAGACUUAUUAUUAUUUUAAAACUAUUUAUUUAGACUUACACAAUCAUCUAAAAUUAUACUAACAAUAGUUUGAAAACAACCUUUUGUCAAAAAAAGUUUGAAAGUUAAAAUGACAUGUUAUUAAUUUUAUUAUCUGAAGAAUUCCUGCCAUAAAUAACACGUGUGAUUUUGAUGAUACGAUGAGGUAAGAAAAAAAACUAAAAAGUAAAGACUAUAGAAAUUACAAAAAUAGACUUUUUAUUAUUUUUAGAGUAUUUAUUUGGACUUACACAAUCAUCUAAAUUUAUAAUAUAUAUAACAAAAGUUUGAAAACAACCUUUGUCAAAAAGAAAAGUUUGAAAACAACUUUCAUUUCAUUUCCAGUGUGAUCUUACCGAAGCUUUUUUAAAAAAAAGUUGUUGGGUCAUUUCAUUGGUAUGCUUUAAGUGAUCUUAACAAAUUUCUAUACCAAAAUCAAAAAUCUAAAUGCAAAAUCAAAAUUAAUUAUAAUUUUGUUCUAUUUCAGCACAAAAAAUACUAUGGUAUUGAAAAAAAAAAUACUAGGGUUAAAUUUGGAGAAGUAAAUACAAUCUAAUUACAAACUCAAUCGAAUAAAUAUUAUAUAUCUAAAUUACAUAUAUCUAAAGUAAAAUAUUACAAUAUUAUUUAAAUAAAUCAUAUAUAUAAUACAAAAUAAUUUAAAUAUAAUUGGAAUAUUAGUAACUUUUAUCAUAUAUAUUUUUAAUACUUAUAUCCAUGCAUGAGCACGAGAAUAAUUAAUAUGCUGUCUGUGAACUUCCUCGUAUAGUUUUAAAAUCCGAAAAAUUACUUGACAUUUUUUCCUCUUGAUUGGUUUUAGAAGGAAAAAAAUUUGUCAUCCGAAAAAAAAGAUGGGAGAUAGUUGGAUUACUCCUUGAUAAUUUAGACUUUCUCUCAUUUAUAUAUAAAUAUUUUUUAAAUUUUUAUUAGCUAAUAAAAAUUACUUGACAUUAUUCCUCUUAAUUGUUUUAGAAGGAAAAAAAAUUGUCAUCCGAAAAAGAAGAUGGGAGAUAGUUGGAAUACUCCUUGAUAAUUUAUUUAGACUUUCUCUCAAUUAUAUAUAAAUAUGUUUUAAAUUUCUAUUAGCUAAUAAAAAUUUAAUCAUUUUAUUAUUCAUUAAGCGUAUCAUUCUAGUAUUUAACGUGAGAUCUCAAAUGCAAAAUAUCAUUUCGCAAAUAAUAAUGUAUAUGUGUUAGAUAUUUAGAAAUUCAAAAAUAAUGUAUGAUAUAGUAGCACUUUAUAAAUCAUUAUUUUCCUUUAAUUUUGCAAAAGGUCACAUUAUCAUAUAUACACUCUUUAAAAACUUAGAAGGAAUUCUAAUUUUUAUUACAUUUAAAUGGUUACCAUUUUAAUAAAUACCUUAUUUUUUUAUGAAAAACAAAAAAAAAACAAAAUUAACUCUCGUAAAUUAUUUAUAAAUGUUUAAAAAUUAUUAAUAAAAAAUUAUAAACUCAACCUCACCCACUAAUUACUAAAUUCUAAACAAUAAUAAGCACUAAACUUUAAAACGUAAAUAUUAUAAUCUUUUUGAUUGAGUGUAUUUUUGAAAUUUUGUAUCCAAUUUAAUAUAUUAUGCAAGCAAUUUCUCAAAAUUUUACUCGCCUUCCCAUGAAAUAUGAUUGUGUACUUCCAUUUAUAUUUCAUUAGUUCCGUGUUGGGUAUUCACCAGCACUUUUAAUUUUAAAUUUCACUAAGAACUAAAAUAUUAAUUAUAUAAAUAAAUAAAUAAAUAUCAUUUUAUCCAUAAGAUUGCUACACGGUAAACAAUUAAGUUUUAAUUAUUUUUAUUUUCAAAUUUUACAUGAUUUUUUGGUACUAAUUCUAAUAUAAUAUUUUAUCAAUUCACUUUAGUGAAGAAAAAGGCAAAAGACAACCAACAUAUCAAUAUUUGUUAUUUUUAUUUAUAUUCGGCAACUUAAUACACUUUAUUAUGCUACAAAACUAACAACAAUUAAUAAUAUUGUUAUUUUUUUUCUUUGAUAAAGGCAUGUAUUAUUAUAAAUAUUAUUUGAGUUUUAAUGUAGAUAAGAAAUCAGGGUUAACAACUAUAAAGGCAUCUGCAGUCACUCUUUCCUUGGCUUUGUUUAGUGCAAAAACCAUCUCCUUUCCUUUUUUUGGUACAUUCAGUUCUACAUUGAGUAAUAUCACAUUCUCCUGUUUUGAUUGGGUAUAUGUCGUAACAAGUUUUUGGUUUUGAUGGUGGUCCUCUUUCCAGAGCAAUCGUCAUUACUCCUGUUAUUACAAUAGUUAAAAUAUAACUUCAGUUUUCUUAUUUAAAACAGAAAAUUAGUGUUUUUGGUUGAAAGAGUUUUUUUAUAGUAAAAUAAAAACUUAAACUAUGAACAUAUCUUUCUUAUCAUUGAUUAUUUUGGGAACAUUGCUAAACUCAAGAUUAUAGAAUUCAAUAUACAAAUUAUAUAAGUAUAUAAAAUAAUAUGAUAUAAGAAUAAAUUUAAUUUUAAAUAAUUGUAAAAUAUAAUAAUAAAAUUUUAAAUGAAAAUACAAAUACAAAUACAUACCGAAAAGAAGAAUUGUGAGCAUAACACGACCAAUAAGCGGAGGUUGAAAAGCAUUUUUCAUCUUUGAUAAUUAAAUAAAUGUGUUUUAAAAUUACAAACACAGAUAAUCAUAUUUAUAGAUGAAUCAAAAUUGAAACAUAUCUAAUUUAAGUAAGCUAUGUAUCUUCUAAAAUUCCGAUAUAAAAGGAUCUAAUUUGACCAAAAAUCUUUUUCAAAAUUUCUAGUUUUUAUUUGUUUGAUAGAUAAAAAAUAUUUUGACUUGGUUAAAUUUAAAAUAUUUCUUGAUAUACAUAAAACCAACCAAUUUCCAUUAAGUUGCACAUUCGAAAAUACAAAACAAGAACUAUUAAGCCGAUGGAUAAAUUUUUGGGGGUUUUGCAAAAAUGACUCAAAACAAAACAUUAAAUGCAAAAUGAACCCAUGAUUUUUUUUGGAACUUUCAUUUUUUCUAUUCACCUUAAAAGUUUGAAUUAUUCAUGAAAAUGCUUUUUUUUGUUGAAAUUGCUUGAUUUACUCAAUCAUGCUUAUAUUCCUCUUUUAUUUACAAUAUUGUUAUUAUCAUCAAUACACCAACAACCAUGAAAAACCAAUUUCAAGCUUUAAAUGCACAUAAAAUCAACAUCUCCAUUUUUAUAUUCUUAUUUCUUACACACACAAACCAUUUCCCUUUCCUCUUUUAUUUACAACAUUGCUAUUAUCAUCAAUACACCAACAACCAUGAAAAACCAAUUUCAAGCUUUAAAUGCACAUAAAAUCAACAUCUCUAUUUUUAUAUUCUUAUUUCUUACAAACACAAACCAUUUCCCUUUCAGAUUCUCUCUUAUUUCAUCCAACUUUUUAUUUCACAAUUUAUAAGCUUAUUAGAAUUACUCAAAUUCAUGAUUUUUGGUCAAGAACUAGUGGAUAAAUUUCACUAAGAAAUGAUGUGUGCUUGAAGAAAGUAAACAUGAACCUCAUUAGAUCUAAGACUGAUUUUUGAAUUUUUACAGAUCUGUUCGCUAAGAGUACAAAAGUCUCCUGAUCAAUGGAUAUGUUAGUUUUACAGUUGACUUUCUCUAUGUUUUUUAAAGACGAUUUCUCUUGAAGUCUUCAAACUUAUUUUGUUAACAACAAAGAAAUAAGAAGACUUCCACGAGAGUCUUUUCUAACAUCUUUGAGAUUUUUUUUUUCAAAACCAAAGGUAAGCCAAUAUAUUUACAAAAAAAGAAGACUUUCAGUUUGUAAAUUUGCAAUUGGGAAAAUGACUUAAAUGGUAGACUUCCAAGAAGUUUUAUGUCGGAAGACUUCUAGAAGUCUUCUUAGAGAAGAAGUCUCUAAGUCAAUGUUUAAUAAAUUUUUAUUUUCUCUAAAAUUAAAAAAAAACUUUAUAAUGUUUUCUUAUUAAUUCAUGUAUAUUAGUCAAUGUUUGGACUCCGGAAUGAAAUUUAUAACAUAAUUAGUGAUAAUUAUGAAGUUAGUAAUUUUCAUGUUUAUUAAUGUUUCUACCUAAUGAGAGAAGACUUUUGGGGGAAUCUUCUAUGUUAGUUUUUGUAAAACUUGUAUUUUCAACUUCAACAUAUGUUUUUUAGCUUUCAACAGUGUUAAGUAACUUCAAGAAUAUCAACUCAUGUGGCUUUAAUGUGUUUUCUUAGAUCAUAGGAUAUACUUUUUAAGAUUUAAAUUUAAGUUUCCCGCAUAAUUUUUAAUUUUCCGCUUAAAAUUUAAGUCUUCGGAGAAGACUUCUCAUAGUUUUUAUUUUUCGCUUAAACUUUCGAGAAGUCUUUUCAGAAAUCUUCUCAUAGUUGUUAAAUGAAGAAAAAUCAGACAUUGCAACUUACCGAUCUUUGAUUAAAAAGAUAAUUUUAAAUAAUAUAAUUUAUAUUUUAAACAAUAUAAUUUUGAUUAAAUAUUUUUUUCUCAAAUUAUUAAAAAUUAAUUUAAAUAAAAGAAAUUAAGGUAUAUUUAAUGAAUACAAAAGAUUUUUCUUUUUCUUUUUCUUUUUAAUUUAAAUUUAAAUUUAUGUUUUAUAUUUUCCAAAUAACAUUUAUACUAUAAUACAUUUAUAAAAUUUAAAGCGAAAAUAUUUUUAUAUGUAAUGUGAUUUCAUAAAAAAAAGAGUUUACAAAAAUAAUCUUGGCAUUAAAGUAAAGAAAUAAUCUUAUCUUUUAAAAUUUAUCAUUGUGUAUUUAUACUAUUUCGUUCUAGAUCAUCACUUUAUUUUUUCUAAUUUUAUUUUUCCUAAAUUAACGAAAACCAUAUUAUUAAAAAAUCAAAAUAUACUUACCUAAGAUGAAAAACCAAAUUAAUGCAAUGAAUACAAUUAGUUUGAUUUGGCUGAAUUAGAUUAAAAAUAGUUGUACUUUAAUUUGAAGGAAUAUGCGUAAGUCGAUCAAUCCAAAUUCUUUUAUUUAAAAAAAAAGAAAAAUUAAGAUUUGUUUGUUGCACAUAUCACUUAUUGUUAAUUACGGCCAUUUAUUAUGUCGACGGUUUUCUAAAUCCAUAAACCUUCUAACAAUCACGAAUGAUUAGAAAAUUAGGUAAACAUUGCAUGAUAUUAAAAAAGAAAAAUGGUAAAAAGAAACAACAUAUGUUCGAAAGAGUUGGUUGAAUACUAGAAAAAAAAAAUGAAAAACUGGUCUCGAGAUGAUUCAGAAAGAGAGAGAGAGGGGUCAAAAAUCAAAUACGAAACUUGCAAACCAAGUAACCUUUUCUUCCUCUUCUUCAAAGAAGAUCGGCUACGUUUGAUGGAAGCUCCUCAACAACCACAUUGUAAAACUUCUGAAUAUCAAAAAGCAUCCUCUCAUCGUCCUUGGUCACAAAGUUAAUCGCCACACCUUUCCUCCCAAACCUCCCACUCCUACCAAUACGGUGAAGGUAGUUCUCAG